rnacentral:tRNA from 2 species
GUCUCCUUAGCUCAGUUGGUAGAGCAACUGACUCUUAAUCAGUGGGUCGCGGGUUCGAAUCCCUCAGGGGACACCA